rnacentral:lncRNA from 1 species
ACUCACUUGAGUAAUACAGAGAACCAAAUGGAGUGAUAGGAAGAGAAGACAGCAUUUUCCCGAUGUUGAGGCUCCAAAUGAACAUCUGUCCAUUUUCUGAUGAGUUGGUGGACUCCGGACUCUGGCGAGUAUGUUAAAUCUGUUUGGGUAGAUCUAAAUCUUGCCAGGAAUACAGCUGGGAUUGAUCCACAUUCUCCAACUUGGUGCAUUUUCCAGGAAGCCAGUUUUUCCUCUGGAGCAAAAGUCUCACUGCCACCCAGAAUGCAUGUGAUCAACUCCUUUCCACAUCAGCCUUUUUGUACAAGGAAACAAUUUCUGUGUUUCUCUAGAUAAAAAUAUAAUUUGAAAGCCAUAGCUUCUGUAUAAAUUAUUGCAACUUCAUUUUCAGCUCACUAUUGGCUUCCAUUUAUUUGAAGUGAACGACGAUGUCCCUCUAUUUGAAAAGACCUUUCUUCCACACCUAUCCUUCCUUCAACCUGCUGUUGGAAUCAGGUCCCUUAACUACAGAGAAUUCAAUGGUACCCCAAUCCCAUACACGUCAAACUUUGAUUAAAGAAUGUCUUACUCUGACCAAGGAUCUCAGAGCCCCCAGAUGAACCUCAAGACAUGGUUGGCCAUUUUUCUUUACCAUUUGUGGGAUAAAAAAGCUGAAAAUAGCCAGGAGCGGUGGCUCCCACCUGUAAUUCCAGCACUUUGGAAGGCUGAGGCAGGUGGAUCGUGUGAGCUCAGACAUUCGAGAUCAGCCUGGGCAACAUGGUGCAACCCUGUUUCUAUAACAAGUACAAACAUAAGCCAGGCAUGGUGGCAUGUGCCUUUAGUCCCAGCUACUUGGGAGGCUGAAGUGGGAGGAUUGCUUGAGCCUGGGGGUUUGAGGCUGCUGUGAGCUGUUUUUAGGCCACUGCACUCCAGCCAGGGAGACAAAGCAAGACCUUGUCAAGAAAAAAAAAAAAAAAAGAGACCUGGUUUGGUGGCUCACACAUGUAAUCCCAGUGUUUUGAGAGGCUGAGGUGUGAGGAUCCCUCGAGCCCAGGAGUUUGAGACUAGCCUAGGCAACAUAGCAAGACCCCAUCUGUGUUAUUAAAAAAGAAGAAGAAGAAGAAAAAGCCUAAGGGUAAGUGAGCAAAGGGCCAAAGGCUUCUGGGUUUGUGGACUCUGCACUUGGAAGACUGAAAUGGGCUUUGCAGAUUAGGAUCAGCAUUCAAAAUUGCUUCUAGAAGUUUCUGAGUAGGUAGAAAUUAGGAAGAGAGGCUUGCAGAAGUCUGAGUCAACUAGACUGAGGUCAGAAUCCCAGCUUGACCUCUUAUUAGCUGUUUGACAUUAGGUAAAUUUCUUACAUUUACUUGAGCCUCAGUUUCUUCAUCUGAAGACUGGGACAUGAUCAUGCCUGUCUCAUUUGUUGUUGUCAGCCAAAAUGAGAUAAAGUAUGAAAAUGCGCUUUGCACAAUGGCUGGAGUAUUAUCAGAAUGCUAAAAUAUUCCCAGGUGCUGUGGUCUGAAUGUCUGUGUCUCCUCUCCAAAAUUCCCAUGUUGAAAGCUAACCCUGAUGUGAUGGUUGGUAUUAGGAAGUGAAGUCUUUGGGAGGUGAUGAGGUCAUGAGGGUGGAGCCCUCACGGAGGUGAUUAGUGCCCUCAUAAGUAAGGGGCUAGUGAGGACGAAGCAGGAAGCAGGCUGUCUGGAAGAGGCCACUCCAGAACCCGACCAUACUGGCACCCUCAUCUCAGACUUCUGGUCUCCAGAACUGUGGGAAAGAUUUGUUAUUUAUAAGCUAGAAGCUUCCAGAGCUGUAAAAAACAAAUGUCUGUUAUUUAUAAGAUACAGUCUAUGGUAUUUUGUUAUCUCAGCCCAAAUGGACUAAGACAACCAGUAAAUGUUAGUUCAUUCCCCUCUUUGCAUGCAAAGGGAAAACUGCUUGACCAUGACUUCACAUCAAGAGCUGUGUCCACUCUUAGUAGGUCCAUAUGGCAAGCUUUGUUUGGGUAGAGACCAGCAGAACUAAAACAGCACCCUGUCUCUGAAAAUAGUUAUUCAGAUCUAAAGACGCUACCCCAGAGCCAUGCUGCUUUAUAGCCCCUGACCAGUCAACAUCCUGAUUACGGUGGUGUUAGGGGCCUGACCUUGAUCUACUUUUCCUGUGGUCAGGAGAGGUAGACUGAACUGUCCCCAAUGUGCCCAUGGGAGCUGUCAAAACAAAGUUCAGAGAAUAGGCUUGGUCCUUGAACACUCUCUCUGUGCACCUCCUGUAUCUGUAGCAGUAAUGAUCAAUCAACAAACAGAUAAAUACAAUUACGAUGUUUUCUAUGUGCCAGGCACUAUGUUACGUGCUCUCCAUGUAUUAAUUCAUUUCAUCUUAACUCAACAGUAGGUGCUCAAUAAGAAUAUGACAACUUACAAAUUCCUACAGCAGCCCAAGUUCAGGGCUAUUUCCACCCUCAUCGCACAGAUAAGGACACAGUCACAUGUAAUGCACUUUGUAGUUUACAAAGCAUUGAAAUAAAGCGCACAUUUUCUGAGUAUAAAAGCAGCACAUAAUAAUAGUAGGAAACGUGGAAAAUUAAUAGAAUUAAAGAAGAAAAACAGCAAUCAUCCUUAAUCCCAUCACUCACCGAAGCAGCUGCACCUGAUUUUUAAAUGGGCUCCCUGGAUAGAGAUGAUGAUGAUAUUGAUAUAUUUUGUAGAAACAGAAACCAAAGCUUUGAGAGAGCAGUUGCACAGUGUGGAGCAGAUCUGAGGCUCGAACCCAGCCUUUCCCCGUAUUUCCCUACAACUCUGAUGGUUGCAAUUUUUGAAGUCUGUCUCGAUUGGAUUUGCAGGUUCCUCUUCCACUUUGGGGAAAGUUCUGAAGCACUCGGUCUGAGUGACUGGAGUGGAGCUGGUUUAACCUGUGAUGGUAAAUCACUCAUUCUCAAGUUUCUGACCUGGGAGCCUUAGAUCCCUGGGGUAGAAGGGUAGCCAGAGUUAUUGCAAGAGGCCUGAGAAUGCAUGUGCCCUGCAAGCAUUGCCUGUGUGGACUGAAUAAGCAGCACUUCCCAGCCAUGUGAGCUGUUAUUUGUUGAAUCUAUGUAGAUGGCUAUAAUUAAUAAAAUGCAUGUUUAUUCAAAAGCAUGGCUAAAUUCAUUAUAGACUUUUGUCAUGUAUUUUCUUAAUCAAGAAAUAUUAAACAUACAACCACUAUCACAUGACAGUCUGCCAUAUUUUGGGGGUUUCAAAAGGAUUCACAAAUAUGAGAAUACAGGUGCUGCUACUAAAGAGGAAAGCCAAGGAAAGCUGAGGCUGCAUCCAGGGCUUGUGCAGAGCAAGGGGACAGUAGAAAUGGGGAUGGGCGUCUCUCUGGAGGGACUUGGAAGCAGCCACUCAUUUAGUAAGCUCCACGGUGUGGUAUCGUGUUAAUGAAAUACUCACUUAGUUUGUUAAUUUUUAAAAUGGUUUUUAAAAAAUCUGAAUCCACUUCAUGUUGCAUAGACCUAGUCUGAGUUUGGAAGGGUAGCCCAAUAGAAAUGAAGGUGCGGACUUAUUUUAUGGCCCUAGUCUUUCAUGGAAAAAGAGUGAUAUUGCCUUGUGUGAUUCUGGGAAGCAGCCUCCCACGUCCCUUCUUUGGGCGAGUGAAGAGUUCAAUCUAGGUGCAUACUGGGGCACCAUGCCUGCUUCACACCACCUCUCACCUGUCACCUGGGACCCUUCCUCUCUGUCUUGUGGUUUAUGGUCCCCUGCCCAUUUUCUCUGCCAGAUUUUGGGCUUUGUGGGUCCAGGACUAUGCCUGCUUUUUUUUGGGGGGGGCGGGGCAGUGUUUUGCUCCGUUCCCCAGGCUGGAGUGCAGUGAUGCGAUCAUAGCUCACUGCAGCCCUGACUUCCCAGGCUCAAUUGAUCCUCCCACCUCAGUCUCCUGAAUAGCUGAAACCUGGCUAACUUUUUUUAUUUUUUGAAAAAACUGGGUCUUGCUAUGUUGCCCAUGCUGGUCUUGAACUCCUGGCCUCAGGUGAUCUGCCCACCUCGGUGGCCGUAAGUGCUGGGAUUGUAGGCAUGAGCCACCACACCUGGCCCUACAUCUGCCUUGUUAACAGCCUUAUCUCCAAGAUCCAGCAUAGAAUGUAUUGAAAAAUAUUUGUUGAACAAAUAAGUCACUGACUGGAUGAAUACAUGAAUAGUUAGGUGUGUCUUUAAUUUUACAAAGUAGAGAUGAAAAUGUUUGAAGGAGAUUUAAAAAGUACAGAUCACUAUUCAAUAUGCCUUUUUAUUUUUUCUCCUGCAUGAAUUUCUAGGUCAGAGUGUUGAAUGGAAAACCCAUUUUUCCCCUUGAUUAUAGAAACAAUAUAUGCUUGUUCUAAAAACAAAACAAAAUGAAAAAGAUAAGGAAAAAGCUGGCUGUCCCUCCUAAUCGCGUCUCCGUGCACCUCUGGAGCACGCCCUCCUGGUUCUCCUGAGUGUGUUAUGUGUAAGUAUCCAUUGCCCUCGCCAUGGAGCCAUCCUUUGCCUUCCGCUGUGCCUGGGAGGCUGACCCCCUCGGGGAAUUACCCAGGUUCCUUUGGCCCCUGGCUUCCUGUGAGUUCAGCUGAUGAGAGGCACCUGCAGGAGUCAAGCCUGUGGGCAGAGAGAGAAAUCCUGAGACAGCCGCUCCCUGUGUCCACGUUCGUCUCUGUGUCUGCACUUGUCUCUCUGUCCGUGCUCAUCUCUGAGGCUGCUUGUCCUUCCUGGCUUCAGUUUCCACCACCGCCCCCCACCCUGCAUGGUUCCAGUCCUAGCCAGGCCCCAGAAACUCUCUCCACCUGCUUUGUUCUUCAUGGGUAUGGGGUCCUGGGAGCCCCGCCUUGCUAGCCUGGGUGUCACCUUCCUGUCUGUUCACUUCACUCUGCACACAGCUCUUGAAGGGGUCCCUUCACUAAAGCUUCUUCCUAUGGACCCUAUUUGAUACAUUCUGCUUUUAGCCAGGACCCUGAUUGCAACAAGAUGCAUCUAUAGUCACAUAAUCAGAGUUGUCCUAUAUAUUCUAUUUUAUAAUCUGCUUUUUAAAGUUAACUAUACACUAUUAUAGGACUCUUUUAAAUCCAGCAAAUAUAACUACAGGUCCUCAUUAUUUUACUUGUUAAGAUUUUCAACAGGAUUUAAUGAAAUCCCACAAAUAUUGAUUGAGCACCUAUCAUGUACAGGAUGUAGUCCCGCCCUUAGGCGGGGUACAGAGCCACGUGGGCAUUAAGACAGAUGUGGAAAUUAUGUGGAUGGAAAAUACAAGGUGUCAUCAG